rnacentral:rRNA from 1 species
UAAUACAUCGAGACGUACCUAAUAGUUGGGGAUAGCUGACCGAAAGGUUAGAUAAUACCGAAUAAUCUCUGAGGAGGAAAGCUGGGGACUUAGCUUGCUAGGCCUGGCGCUGUUAGAGCGGUCGAUGGUUGAUUAGCUAGUUGGUGGGGUAAAGGCUUACCAAGGCGAUGAUCAAUAGCUGUUCUGAGAGGAAGAUCAGCCACACUGGGACUGAGACACGGCCCAGACUCC